CUUCGGAGGUCAGAGCUCGGCGGGGUGCGGCUAGUGGCGGAGCGCGCUGCGAGGGGAGGGCUUUCCACUGUCGCUGGCGUGAACUCGCGUGCCCGGCUUCACCAGGUACUGCCUUCUAACGAGCUGGCCAUUUCCACAUGUCAGAUAGGACCAACUUGCCUUUUAACUACCCGUGUGAUACUUAAACACUGUUGCCGGUAUCACAGCUUUUCUUCAAAACAGGAUCUUGCUCUGUCACCCAGGCUGGAGUACAGUAGCACCAUCACUGCUCACUGUAGCCUCGACCUGCUGGGCUCAAGUGAUCCUCCCAUCUCAGCCUCCUGAGUAGGGGACUACACACAGGCACCACCAUGAUCCGGUAUCACCAGUCUGUGGGUACAAAAGGAGAGUAACAUGAACGAUUCAAAUUCCACUGGCUCUUGUUCCCAUGGAUUCACAGAAGUUCAGCCCCAUUUCAAAACUUCACAUUUGCUUCUGGGAAGCCCAUUCUGGAAAGUUUCUCUGUGGCCCUCUCCAGAAGGCAGCGCGACUUCCACCCAGCAACACAAGUCUCUGCAGCACCUGCCCCAGCAGCGCCAGCUGAG
rnacentral:lncRNA from 1 species